ensembl:lncRNA LINC01020 long intergenic non-protein coding RNA 1020
AGAGCAACAGAAUACUGUGCUGAGGCCCCAAAACAGAAAGGAAAGCUCACCACCAGAAUGUGCCUUUUCCUUAUCAAAAAGAAUUGCUGCCCCUUACAGGACAGGAGGACUCCAAUUGUGACCAAGUUGGAGCAGCCUUGAGCCACAACUCAGACUUAUUUUCAUUCUCUGCUCAUUGGCCAUUAGGAACCCGAUCCUUAUGGUAUGUUCACACUGUCUCCAGGCUGGGCACAGUGGCUCACACUUGUAAUCCCAGCACUCUGGAGGCCAAGGUGGGUGGACGGCUUGAACUCAGAGUUUGAGACCACCGUGAGCAACAUGACAAAACGCUAUCUCUACAAACAAUAUAAAAAUUAGCCUGGUGUGGUGGUGCACGCCUGUGGUCCCAGCUACUAGGGGCUGAUGUGGGAGGAUUGCUUGAGCCUGGAAAGUGGAGGUUGCAGUGAGCUGAGAUUGCACCACUGCACUCCAGCCUGGGUGACACAAGGAGACGCUGUCUCAACCUGCAGUGACCUGCUGCUACCAGAACUGACUCGCUUCAAAGUGACGGAUGAAACCCAUAUGGAGAUAUUCCUGGGGUGGGUAGGCCAGUUGGAAGACAGAGUGUUUACACCUGAGAGAGGACUUGAGGAAAAGCAGUUGAAAUACCAUUAGUUAACAGAUUGCCCAAUGAAGUCGAUGACAACUGUGAUAACAAGUUACUCACUAUCACAGCGUCUCCAAGAGAUGAACAGUGGAUGAUGCUUCCAAAGCACAGAUGUCCCUCUCCUCCUCAACCUUCUCUCCCCAGAAAGAUGUCAACACUGUGGAGAUUGUGCUAUGAAGAUACCUGGUGUGGCAUUGCAAUAGAUGAAAUAUUAAGGGCAAUUCAACAAUUUUCUGAACAAAUACAUGGAUUUAACUUGAAGUUGAAUUUAAUUUGACUUCAAGAAAAAUUAUAUUUCUGGUCCUCCUAUGAUCAUGCACUAAGAAUUAUUUAACUGCAGAUACAAUUGUUACCUUUAGAGCUAGAAGGCCUCAUUUUAGAAUUAAAAUGAAUGGCAACCCAGACAGAUAAA